rnacentral:misc_RNA from 1 species
GAUGAAGAACGUAGCGAAUUGCGAUAAGUAAUGUGAAUUGCAGAUUUUCAGUGAAUCAUCGAAUCUUUGAACGCACCUUGCACCUUUUGGCAUUCCGAAGGGUAUGCUCGUUUGAGUGUCAUUGUACUCUCACUCUCCCGAUACUUUUGGUUCGGGAGUGGUGGACUUGGGUGCUGCUGCUUAACUGUGGCUCGCCUUAAAUGAAGUAGUGCAACUCUCGGUUGGACAUAGUACGGCGUGAUAAGUGUCUUCGCCGGCGCCUCAUUCGAGGGUGGCCGAUCGGGAGCUCUGUGCUUCAAACUGUCUUCGGACAACAUCUGACAACUUGACCUCAAAUCGAGUAGGACUACCCGCUGAACUUAAGCAUAUCAAUAAGCGGAGGA